GGUGGUUGUAUCUCUAUAGGGGUGGUUGUAUCUCUAUAUCUCUAUAGGGGUGGUUGUAUCUCUAUAGGGGUGGUUGUAUCUCUAUAGUGAGAGGGGUGGUUGUAUCUCUAUAGGGGUGGUUGUAUCUCUAUAGUGAGAGGGGUGGUUGUAUCUCUAUAGGGGGAGGGGUGGUUGUAUCUCUAUAGGGGUGGUUGUAUCUCUAUAGGGGUGGUUGUAUCUCUAUAGGGGUGGUUGUAUCUCUAUAGGGGUGGUUGUAUCUCUAUAGGGGUGGUUGUAUCUCUAUAGGGGUGGUUGUAUCUCUAUAGUGAGAGGGGUGGUUGUAUCUCUAUAGUGAGAGGGUUUGCUCUGAGGGUUUUCAGGAAGUUGAAUCACAAUGCAUGUGAAGGCAGAGGAAGGAAACAAGGAACUGAUAUAUUGAACUCAGCCGACAGGGCAGGCAGUGUACUGUACUGUAACACACCAGAGAAGAAGAGGACUAGGG
ensembl:lncRNA